UAAAGAUUCAUCGCUGAUAGAUAGGCAUGCGUUCCAUUAGGCAGUUGGCGGGGUAACGGCCCACCAAACCGACGAUGGAUAGGGGUUCUGAGAGGAAGGUCCCCCACGUUGGUACUGAGACACGGACCAAACUCCUACGGGAGGCAGCAGUGAGGAAUAUUGGUCAAUGGGCGUAAGCCUGAACCAGCCAAGUCGCGUGAGGGAUGAAGGUUCUAUGGAUCGUAAACCUCUUUUAUAAGGGAAUAAAGUGCGGGACGUGUCCCGUUUUGUAUGUACCUUAUGAAUAAGGAUCGGCUAACUCCGUGCCAGCAGCCGCGGUAAUACGGAGGAUCCGAGCGUUAUCCGGAUUUAUUGGGUUUAAAGGGUGCGUAGGCGGCCUUUUAAGUCAGCGGUGAAAGUCUGUGGCUCAACCAUAGAAUUGCCGUUGAAACUGGGAGGCUUGAGUAUGUUUGAGGCAGGCGGAAUGCGUGGUGUAGCGGUGAAAUGCUUAGAUAUCACGCAGAACCCCGAUUGCGAAGGCAGCCUGCCAAGCCAUGACUGACGCUGAUGCACGAAAGCGUGGGGAUCAAACAGGAUUAGAUACCCUGGUAGUCCACGCAGUAAACG
rnacentral:rRNA from 1 species